rnacentral:rRNA from 1 species
AAGAACGAACGCUGGCGGCAGGCUUAACACAUGCAAGUCGAACGCUGUAGCAAUACAGAGUGGCAGACGGGUGAGUAACGCGUGGGAACGUGCCCUUCGGUUCGGAAUAACGUACAGGGAAACUUGAGCUAAUACCGGAUACGUGCGAGAGCAGAAAGAUUUAUCGCCGAAGGAUCGGCCCGCGUCCGAUUAGCUAGUUGGUGAGGUAACGGCCCACCAAGGCGACGAUCGGUAGCUGGUCUGAGAGGAUGAUCAGCCACACUGGGACUGAGACACGGCCCAGACUCCUACGGGAGGCAGCAGUGGGGAAUAUUGGACAAUGGGCGAAAGCCUGAUCCCAGCCAUGCCGCGUGAGUGAUGAAGGCCCUAGGGUUGUAAAGCUCUUUCGCCAGGGACGAUAAUGACGGUACCUGGAUAAGAAGCCCCGGCUAACUUCGUGCCAGCAGCGGC